rnacentral:misc_RNA from 1 species
GAUGAAGAACGCAGCGAAAUGCGAUAAGUAAUGUGAAUUGCAGAAUUCAGUGAAUCAUCGAAUCUUUGAACGCACAUUGCGCCCCUUGGUAUUCCGAGGGGCAUGCCUGUUCGAGCGUCAUUAUAACCCCUCAAGCUCAGCUUGGUGUUGGGGCCUGCUGCACUGGCAGCCCUUAAAAUCAGUGGCGGCGCCAUCUAGCUCUAAGCGUAGUAAUUCUUCUCGCUAUGGAGUCCUGGUGGAUGCUUGCCAUCAACCCCCAAUUUUUCUAUGGUUGACCUCGGAUCAGGUAGGGAUACCCGCUGAACUUAAGCAUAUCAAUAAGCGGAGGA